GUUUAAACAAUUUAUUGAAAACUCAAUUUAAUCGAACUCGUCUGAGUUGAUCAAACAAGUAGCUUAUAACAUUUAAGUUUGAUUAGAAAUUUGAAAUCUAUGAUCUUUUUUAACACUCUAUAACUCAAUUUAUGCCUCUGAAAAAAUAGAGAAGAUGAGAAAUUAUUCUAAACAUAACCAUGUUUUUCGAGAAGUUUUUGUUUUAAUACACAUUCCUAUUAUCCAUUGACUCUCUCAACACAACUUUCGUUUGAAAGCAAAGUGGUAAAAACAGAAACAGAGGAAAAAAAACCCCAAAGGGGAAAACUAAGAUCUCAAGAACAAGGUUCUUAAAGCAUCUGUCCUCAAUAACGGGCGGAGAUCGUCAGGAGGAUGCGGGUGCGCUAACAGAAUAUCAUCCGAAGAAGCUCCUAGCUUGGCCAGGAAAUCUGCACACUAGUUACCUUCGCGAAGAGUGUGGUGUAGCGAAACACUACCCUGAGAUAGCAGAAUUUUAAUUUCAUGAAUCAGCACUGCAUAAACAUGAUAUUUCAAAGAGGCUUCCUUGACGGUUUUGAUAGCAAGGAGAGAGUCCGAGUAACACGCCGUAGCAGCAAGUAGGUUUAAAUAUAGAGUCUCGCUAAGAGGACACCUAUUAAUGAUUCAAUGAUAGAAAUAAUUGAUAAGUUUUAUGUAGAACAAAAGUUUGUAAAAAAAAAAUGUAGAACAAAAGUUACUUUUUAAAGUUUCAAUACAGGUGGAUUCUAGUGUGAGGGGCCAAUUAGGUCCCUCACCGGUGGACCACGAAAAAAACACCAAUAGAUUUGUUCAACCGUUUAGAUUUGAUUAAAAUAAAAAUAAGAACAUUUGAAACAUUCCACAUUCUAUCUAGCCCUUACCCAUCUCU
rnacentral:lncRNA from 1 species